rnacentral:rRNA from 1 species
CCUACGGGUGGCAGCAGUGGGGAAUAUUGCACAAUGGGGGAAACCCUGAUGCAGCGACGCCGCGUGAGUGAAGAAGUACUUCGUUAUGUAAAGCUCUAUCAGCAGGGAAGAAAAUGACGGUACCUGAGUAAGACGCCCCGGCUAACUACGUGCCAGCAGCCGCGGUAAUACGUAGGGGGCAAGCGUUAUCCGGAUUUACUGGGUGUAACGGGAGCGUAGACGGCAGUGCAAGUCUGGAGGGAAAGGCGGGGGCUCAACCCCCGGACUGCUCUGGAAACUGUACGGCUGGAGUGCAGGUGAGGUAAGUGGAAUUCGUAGUGUAGCGGUGAAAUGCGUAGAUAUUAGGAGGAACACCAGUGGCGAAGGCGGCUUACUGGAGUGUAACUGACGUUGAGGCUCGAAAGCGUGGGGAGCGAACAGGAUUAGAUACCCCUGUAGUC